rnacentral:rRNA from 1 species
AUGGGGUUGCUCCUGCUGCUUCACGUCCUGCUCGUCGCGGUGGCGGCGAGGGCCCCGGCGGCGCUGGCGUGGGGCAAGGAGGGCCACUACAUGACCUGCAAGAUCGCCGACGGUUUCCUGACGAGCGAGGCGUCGACGGGGGUGAAGGCUCUCCUCCCGUCGUGGGCCAACGGCGAGCUCGCGGAGGUGUGCUCGUGGGCGGACAGCCAGCGCUUCCGGUACCGGUGGUCCAGCCCCCUCCACUUCGCCGACACCCCCGGCGACUGCGAGUUCAGCUACGCCAGGGACUGUCAUGACACCAAGGGUAACAAGAACGUGUGCGUGGUCGGGGCCAUCAACAACUACACGGCCGCGCUCCAGGACUCGUCCAGCCCAUUUGACCCGACGGAGAGCCUGAUGUUCCUGGCGCACUUCGUGGGCGACGUGCACCAGCCGCUGCACUGCGGCCACGUCGACGACCUCGGCGGCAACACCAUCAAACUCCGCUGGUACAAGAGGAAGAGCAACCUGCACCACGUGUGGGACUCGGACGUGAUCACGCAGGCCAUGAAGGACUUCUUCGACAAGGACCAGGACGCCAUGAUCGAGUCCAUCCAGCGCAACAUCACCGACGACUGGUCCAGCGAGGAGAAGCAGUGGGAGACGUGCCGCAGCAAAACCACCACCUGCGCUGAAAAGUACGCCCAGGAGAGCGCGUUGCUGGCAUGCGACGCGUACGAGGGCGUCGAGCAGGACGACACCCUAGGAGAUGAGUACUACUUCAAGGCGCUGCCGGUCGUUCAGAAGAGGCUCGCCCAGGGGGGCGUGAGGCUGGCGGCGAUCCUCAACCGGAUUUUCAGCGGGAACGGCAGGCUGCAGAGCAUCUGA